rnacentral:rRNA from 1 species
GAUGAACGCUAGCUACAGGCUUAACACAUGCAAGUCGAGGGGCAGCAUGAACUUAGCUUGCUAAGUUUGAUGGCGACCAGCGCACGGGUGAGUAACACGUAUCCAACCUUCCGUUUACUCAGGGAUAGCCUUUCGAAAGAAGAUUAAUACCUGAUAGUAUGGUGAGAUUGCAUGAUAGCACCAUUAAAGAUUUAUUGGUAAACGAUGGGGAUGCGUUCCAUUAGGUAGUAGGCGGGGUAACGGCCCACCAAACCAACGAUGGAUAGGGGUUCUGAGAGGAAGGUCCCCCACAUUGGAACUGAGACACGGUCCAAACUCCUACGGGAGGCAGCAGUGAGGAAUAUUGGUCAAUGGACGAGAGUCUGAACCAGCCAAGUAGCGUGAAGGAUGACUGCCCUAUGGUUGUAAACUUCUUUUAUACGGGUAAUAAAGUUAG